AACGAACGCUGGCGGCAUGCCUAACACAUGCAAGUCGAACGAGACCUUCGGGUCUAGUGGCGCACGGGUGCGUAACGCGUGGGAACCUGCCCUUAGGUUCGGAAUAACUCCCCGAAAGGGGUGCUAAUACCGGAUAAUGUCUUCGGACCAAAGAUUUAUCGCCUUUGGAUGGGCCCGCGUUGGAUUAGCUAGUUGGUAGGGUAAAAGCCUACCAAGGCGACGAUCCAUAGCUGGUCUGAGAGGAUGAUCAGCCACACUGGGACUGAGACACGGCCCAGACUCCUACGGGAGGCAGCAGUGGGGAAUAUUGGACAAUGGGCGAAAGCCUGAUCCAGCAAUGCCGCGGGAGUGAUGAAGGCCUUAGGGUUGUAAAGCUCUUUUACCCGGGAUGAUAAUGACAGUACCGGGAGAAUAAGCACCGGCUAACUCCGUG
rnacentral:rRNA from 1 species